GAGUAGAGUGGCGCACGGGUGAGUAACACGUGGAUAACCUGCCCUAAGGUCUGGGAUAACAUUUCGAAAGGGAUGCUAAUACCGGAUAAGCCUACGACCUCCUCGGAGGAUGUAGGAAAAGAUUUAUUGCCUUAGGAUGGGUCCGCGGUCCAUUAGCUAGUUGGUAGGGUAAUGGCCUACCAAGGCUACGAUGGAUAGCUGGUCUGAGAGGAUGAUCAGCCACACUGGAACUGAGACACGGUCCAGACUCC
rnacentral:rRNA from 1 species